AUUGUUAGAAUUGUGUGACCCAAAUUCUAAGAGAUUGCUUGCAAGUCAAGUUAAACAAAAAUAUAUUUUCUUUCUAGAAGAUUUAGUAUUUAUUAGUAUAAUAUAUUUAGCAUUUAUUAGUAUAGUUUAUUUGACUUGCUAAUUUAGCCUAUAAAUAGACUCCUUUACAAUCUUAGAAUUAGAGAGACACCCAUUAGAUUAGAACUCAUAACACAUUCAGAGAAUUUUGUGUUUACGUUUGAGGGUUCUUUGUUUUUCGAGUUUUCGGGGUUUAGUUUUUAUCUCCAUCUUUUGUACUCUUCAUUCUUUUGCCAUUAUAGUAAAAUUAUCUUUGCCCGUAGUUUUUUAUCCUCUUUUGAGGGGUUUUUCCACGUUAAAUUUGUGUGUUCAUCUUCUCAAUUUCUUUUACUAUUUUUACUUGUUCGUUGCUUAAUCGGGACGAUCCUAACACCGACCAAUAUAGAUGUAUUGAAGCAUACUCAAAUUCCCAAUUUCUAUUGGUAGGCUCCCCUCCAUUUGGUUAUACGCUAAAGAUAACAUUUGUAACUCUUUGCACUUGAAUAGACUGGCAGGAAUUCUACCAGAAAGCAGGUUACGACUCCAGUACAAUCCUUUCAAAUUUGGAAGAUGAUCAAACAUAUCUUUUGGGAUAUGACCAGUGAGAUUAUUGGAGGAGAAAUGGAUGACUUCUAGCAAAAGUAAAUCACGUGGAACAAAGGGUAUGGAACCAGAAAGCAUAUUGUAGCUUAGAUAUAUUUCUUGCAACGAAGAGAUAUUGAAGAUGGUGGAGGGAAUUGAACCUGAAAUCUGGUUUCCAGACAAAUACAAGACCUCUAGCUUUGACAAAUAGGCUAAAGAGAAUGGAAUAACACCUUUGAAGUUGUUUUGGUCCAAAAACAACCUUCGAAGUUCAGUUAAUGAUCCCAACCAUGAUGGGAUUUCUCCAUUGAAGGAGUUGUUACCAAAGCUUAAAUAUUUCAGCCGUCGCAAAUUGGAUAACUGGACAGGUAAUCCGCCAUAGAAACUAUUGUUUGUGACAUGAAGAAGAGAAAGGAAUGAUAAAUUUCCCAAGUGAGGUGGAAGGGUGCCUACGAGUCCCAACCUAGUAAGGUUUAGAGCUGUGACUCUACGGUGCUUGGAUCUACAACUUACACCAAACCAAUUGCAAAUAGGGGCAGAGGCUGACCAGUUAGUCGUCAAGACAUUUUCAGGAUCCUGAAUAACAUGAUCUUUUAGUGCUAGAAGAGCUGACUGAUCUCUAAGUAUGGUUGUUAAUUUCAUAGAGAAAGUAGGCAUAGAGAAAUGGAAGAUGAUAAGAAGAGCUAAGUUGAGGAAAGUAUUCCCCAUUUGAAUUUGGGUGUUUAUGAAGCUACCAACAAAGGCAGAACGGAGAUUGCUAGACAGAUAAUUGAAUGAUCACUAACCGUAUGACCACACAACUUUUACAUAAUACGUGUAUGUAUAUAUAAAGGGAGUUUAUGUUGUAAUUUCUUCAUGCAAGAUUGCAAAUUAAUAUGAUUUACUUAGAAAUUACGGAAUUUAUUAUAAGACGUGAUAAUAUAAUUAUGUAAUUAUUGCUUAAAAUUUUUCUUUCUAAAUUUCAUAUUUCUUAAGAAAUUACAGUAAUAAAUUUUACAUAGAAAUAACAUUAACAUUAUUGUCAGUACAGGAGAAUGUGAAUUUGAAUGCAUUGAAACACAUUUAUCUUCUUAUAUAAGUAUUAGCAAAAAAAAUUAUGUAUAGUUCUAGACAUGUUAUAAAAAGAAUUUGAUAUAACAAGAUUUAGAAAAUAAUUUGCAUUAUUUAUUUUAGGAAAUUAUUGAAUAAAGAGAUCAAGAAUUUUCAAUUUAAAAAAUUUUAAAUUUAAAUCAUAACAGGAGAAGGAGUUUAGUUACUUUACAAUUAUCCAAGAUGGAUUAAAUUUGGUUUUAUAUCUAAGAUAUCAAAACCGUAAUUAGGUUAUGAUAAGCAUUAAACUAAAUUAUUGGAAUAAAAAUAUAGGUGAAAUUAUUAAUAAAAGCCGUUUUUUUUCAAAAUUUACUGAAAUGGGCUGAUUUUUUUAUUAUUUACCGGAAUGGUCUAUUUUCCGGGAAAUCGCAUCCACGUCAGAGCGAUGUCAGGGUACGUGUCAGGACAUUGCGUCCACGUCAGCGCGACCUGCUUACGUGGAAGGAAAUCGUGUCCUUGAGGGAGCGAUUUCCUUCCACGUCAGCAGGUCACGCUAACGUGGACGCGAUGUCGGCCGCGUGUGAACAGUACCCCAACGGUCAAAAAUUUGACCGUUGCCCCCCCAACGGUAAAAAAAAAACUAUAAAUACCCCCACCCCUUUUUUUUUUCACAAACAAAUCCUAUCUUCGAUUUCCUUCCAAAAUUCUCUCAAACCCAUAUUUAAUUUCAAUUUCCUCUCAAUUUCCUUCCAAAAUUCUCUCAAAUCCAUAUUUAAUUUCAAUUACCCCUCAAUUUUAUUUUUUAAAAUAAUUUUUAUAUUUUUAUAUUUUUUAAAAUAAUUUUUAUAUUUUUAUAUUUUUUAAAAAUAAUUUUAAAUUUUUUAUAUUUUCAUCAAUGGCCGGAUCAUUGAUUCGUCUUGAUAGGAUUCACAUAUCGGUGGAGCAAAUGAAAAUGGUAAGCAUUAAAUUUAAUUUUUAAAUAUUAUUUAAGAUUUUUUUAUUUAUGUAUUUUUAGAUAAUUAUUAAUUUAUUAUUUGUUAUAAAAGUCUGCAGAUCAGAUAUUGGAAUGCAAUAUCCGGAAUAUGCAUGCUCCUCCAUCACCGUUAGUAGAGAACUACUUGUGGGAAGCGGGUUUUUGGCACGUGGCGACGGUAGUCCGGGGAUGCAAGUUGGACCCGAAACUGAUUAGUGCGUUGAUCGAGAGGUGGAGACCCGAGACGCACACAUUCCAUCUUCCAUGUGGAGAGUGCACUAUCACUCUAGAAGAUGUCAGUCUGCAGUUGGGAUUGCCGGUGGACGGGCACCCAGUCACUGGGUCUGCCCAAUCUAGUAAUUGGGAGGCAGUGUGCUACGAGCUUUUGGGCGCUAUUCCGGAUAAAAUGGAUGGAGGUAAGGUCGAGAUGGGCUGGUUACGUGCCACCUUCCCCGAUCCGAAUGCAAAUUCAACUGAAAUUGAAAGAAUCUGAUAUGCUCGAUCAUACAUUUUUCAAAUAAUUGGAGGUUAUCUGAUGCCCGACACAUCACAGAGCCGUGUACAUCUAAGGUGGCUGCUAAAACUCGUUGAUUUUAGAGGAGCUGGUGAAUUUAGUUGGGGGUCUGCCGUCUUGACAACAUUAUAUCGGGAGAUGUGCGAUGUGACGCGACCGAGGAGAGAAAACAUCGGAGGUUGCCUGUCACUACUGCAAUCAUGGGCACGGUUUCGCUUUCCAUUUCUACAUCCUCGAGUGAACCACCCAUAUACAUUCCCACUCGUAACGAGGUAAAUUUUAUAUUACAUUUUGGAAUUAUUAUGUAGAUUUUGUAAGAAUAAAACUAUGCUAAAUAUUUAUUUAAUUAGGUGGAACCAUCAGGCAAGUUAUCGAGGAUUACCGUCUGAACUUGAAGAUAUACGGCUUCUAUUGGAGCAACGGUCGGAAGCAGAAGUAAGUAUUAUUGCAAAUAGAUAUUUCUAUACAUUCGCUAGUCGAUUGAUAUUUAGUAUUUAGUAUUUAGUAUUAUGUAUAUAACUAAUAUUUCUAUCAUGUUCAUAUAGUUUCAAUGGACACCAUACGAGGAUCCGGCAAUUCGAGUAGUAAUCUAGGAAGAGUUUUUACAAAAUCUGAACGCUUGGCACGCGAAAGUGGUGUUGAUCAACUAUGCAACCGUGGAGCCCCACCAGACAGACAGAGUGCUACGACAGUUUGGAUGUAGACAACCGAUUCCUGCGGACCUUGAGGUGUUUGACGAUCACCACAAAAUCGACCUUCGGCUAUUAGGUAUGGAUUGGCCUAGAUACUGGUCCGAGUACACACAAAUGUGGGAAAAUCGGCUUGAAUAUCUACCUACUCGGGAAGAAAUCAUCGUUCCGGAGUUAGCGUGCGUUCCAGAAUACAUGCCAUAGUUUAGGAUCCAUGGCAAGCCGUAUUUACUUAAGCCAGAGGAUAGGCAGCGGCAAAUACGUGUCGGCAGGGAAAGGCGCGGGCCUCUAAAUCCAAGACAAGAAUACUACGAAGGCAGCCCCUCAACGAGGCCCAGACAGUCACCGGCUCAUCAUCAGCAGCCAUGCAAUCACCGUCCCUAAUGAGAGCACCGACGCAGUCACCUGGCGCAGCAAUUCAACAGAUGAUACCCACGCAACCGCCUUUCCCUAUGAUGCCAGGUGUGUUUCCUAGCCCUUAUAUGUACCCUAACCCUUACAUGUAUCCUUUUCCGAAUCCUAUGGCAGGUUGGAGCCAAAUGCCCGGUUCAGCUCCAUUUCCUGUUAUGCCGAGCGGACCGUCGAUAUCUAGGCCAGCGGCGCAGGAGGGAUCGCAAGGGGGGCCGUCGGGGAGCUCUCCUUUUUACCAAUCGCCACCAACGUAUGGCUUUCAAACACCGUUGUCGUUCAUGAUGCAAACACCUCCACAUACACUAUUCUUUGAAGGUGGAUCAUCGUCCCAAGUCCGACAACCAGAUGCCGAACCGGAAGAACCACAAUCACCACCGAAGGAAGAACAACCGCCGCCGGAAGCUAGAGGAAGGAGGAAUCUAGCGCGUAACCGUCGACGGCCGCCAUGUGCAACUGAAUCCCUCGGGCAUAGACAUUGAUUGCCGUAUUUAAAUUUAUUAUUUGAUGUAAUAAAAUAGAAGUUUAUUUGAUGUAAUACGUAUAGAAAUUUUUUCGAGUUAUUUUGAUAUUAUUUGAUGUAAUAAAAUAGAAGUUUAUUUGAUAUAAUAGGCAUAGAAAUUUUUUCGAGUUAUUUUGAUAUUAUUUGAUAUAAUAAAAUAGAAGUUCUAUUUGAUGUAAUAAAAACCAUAAUUUAAUUAAAAACCCUAACCAUAACCUAACUUAAUUAAAAACCCUAACCCUAACCUAAUUUAAUUAAAACCCUAACCCUAACCUAACUUAAUUAAAAACCCUAACCCUAACCAAACUUAAUUAAAAACCCUAACCCUAACCUAACUUAAUUAAAAACCCUAGCCCUAACCUAAUUUUACAUAAUUUGAUAAUUUUACUAACCAUUAACACAAUUUUUGGACUUAAUAAUUUUACAUAAUUUGAUAAUUUUACUAACCAUUAACAAAAAUUUUUUUGGCUUAAUAAUUUUACAUAAAUUUACAUAAUGUUAGAUUUGGUAAAAUAUUUUGACUGGUACUAACAAUUAAGAAAUUAAAAUAAUUUGAUAAUUUUACUAACAAUUAAUACAAUUAUCAAUUAAUAAUUGAAUAAAAUAUAUUUUUUUCUAAAAUUACAUUCAACUAUUGCGAUUAGGGCAUGAUCGACUUGUAUGGCCUGGGUUCCUACACCAUCCGCACAACUUCUGUUGACUGGUUGUUUCUCGGAUAUCCAUAUUGUUCCGUAUUCUAGUGGAGCACGGUCGACCCUUUAGUUUGCGACGCAAUUCUCUAUCCGGUAACAGCUUAAAAAGAGCAAGAGAUACGGGCGGCCACUUACGUUCAUCUGGGACCGGUGGGAAAACGUGUCUCCAUACGUUGUACAUGUUUUCUAAUUUGUACACUUCGUCCACAUAACUCAUCGAAUCCAGACGGAGUUUCUGACAAGCUGCAAUAACAUGAGCGCAUGGAUAGCGAAGUACAUCAAACUUCCCACUGUCACAAGUCCUGUUUUGCAAGUGUACACGAUAUUGUCCGCCAACAACACCUUGGUGCGGUCUGUCAAACUCUGUCACACGAAACCAUAAAUUGUCUCGAUCGUGACACACUGUGUGCAUGAUGUUUGCCCUCGCCUUCGCCUUGUUAAUUUCUUGAACUACCUUACUGCACCAUACAUGGCCACCCUGCAUCUGGCCUGCAUAAGUUGCUGCUCGCUUUGGAAAUAGCGCCGCCAAACGGAAAUAUGUCUCUUGCACAACCGAUGUUAUCGGUAGAUGGCACGUUCCUUUAAUAACAGAAUUUAUGCAUUCUGCCAGGUUUGAUGUCAUAUGGCCAUAUCUCAGGCCUCCGUCGUAUGCUUGUACCCACUGUUCGAAACGUAUGUUACAAAGGUAGUCUGCCCCUUCUCCGUUUUGGGAUCGUAAAAUUACCAACAUCUCGUGAAAACGAUCUUUAUUUAUUUCAUACCCCGCCAAUAUAAGAUUAUAGCGAAUAUUUUAUACCACUUCUACCAAUAAAACUAAUUCAAAUUGACAAACGAAAUAAUAUAGUUAUAGACUAAAUACCCAUAUUGGUCACUUGUCGUCGUUCGCUCUUAGAUGGAUAUUGCUUGUAGUAGUUCGAAGCAGCGUAUCUUAGGCAAUAUCUAUGGUGUGUGCGCUGCCACAAGCUUCCCUGUCGAUCAAAUGUAGCAGUAUACCGGCGCCCCGAUCUGAAAUAACAUAGAUAUCAGGUUGGGGGCACACAUGCCUCCUUAACCUAGAGAGAAAGAAAUCCCAGUCAUCAGACGACUCCCCCGGUGUUAUUGCAAAUGCAAUUGGAAGAAUUUUCCCACCGCCGUCCUGUGCCACUGCAACCAAUAGCCGAUGAGUAUACCUACCGAACAUGAAGGUACCGUCAAUUUGUACCAAUGGCUUGCAGUAUGGAAAUGCGUCUCGGCAUUGCUUAAAGGUCCAAAAUAGGCGUUUGAACACUUGACAUCCACGUAGCAAUCGGCCGUUGUAGUACGCAUGUUUCGUUUCAAGGUCUGUGAUGGCACCUAGGACGUAUCUCUCUAGCACCUGACACCACUGUCAUAUUUCAUUAUAUGAGGCGUCCCACCCACUAUGCAUCUUCUCCAACGCCUUUUGCUUAGCUAUCCAAGCCUUGCGGUAAGAGGGCGUGUACCCCAUUUGGCUACGAAUAUUGGCAACUAUCACCAGCACUGAAGUCCUAGGAUCUGCUUUUAUCAUGGGCAGUAUCAAGCUAUCUAACAUAGCUGAAUCCAUUUUGGGAUGAUCUUGUGAAACACCUACAGAGGGAGUACAUUAAAUAAUGCAACAUUGCAAAAUAAAAUAAUUAUUUAGAUACAUUAAAUCAUGUACCUGCAGCACAUGUAUGUGGACCUUUGUACUUUUUAAUCUCCCACAACCUUGUCCUUUUCCUUAACGAGACGACGAUUUUCCAUGAACAUGUGCCGUCUUGCACCGCACACUUCGCCUCAAACUUAUCAGAUUUUAAUUUAACGACGUGGUCAUUAACGCCGUUUUUGAUGCUAUGCUGUUUCAAAGCACCAAUAAAACUAUCCUUGUUGGUAAACUGAUUACCAACUUCAAGUUCACCGAAAUUUACCCCCGAACUUGUACGAUCGCACAACCGGUGUGGUAGAUCUGGAAACUCUAACGCAUCAUCUGCUGACAGAUCGACAUUAUGCAUGUGGGCUGGAGGUGAGUAUGCUCUGAAUCGUGAAUUUUCUUCAUCAUCUGAACUCCUUUCAGCAUCUUCACCUUCUGUUGGAAUAGGCUCCGGUUCAGAAAAUAAUCUCACUUCUGCACCAUCCUGCCCGGGCUCUCGAGGUGGAUCCACAUCGGAGUCAUCUUCUAACCCACAAUCAUCUGCAGCGUACGACGUCCCUUCACCGGUUGACGUCGUAGGUAGUACGUCAUCCCUUCUUCUGGGCAUUUGAUAACGUUUCCAAUUAGAUGUAGAUUGCCAUCCACUAGAACUUGAUGUAGUUCCCCAGUACGUAUUUCCAGCAUCAAACGUCGAGCCACCGACAUAUAUGUCCCAUCCACCGACAGAGUGUCUUGCGGGGGAUGCAUUCGACAGCGCUACCGAACAUGGGCUGUUCUAUAUUUUGUAACCCGCUAACCGAGUGUCGGCCAGGGGUCGUGUAUACAUCUCAAACACCAGACGGAAGUACAUCAGUUGGCAACGUAAAUUGUACAUAUAACUCAAUAUAAGUUGCUCCACUAGCAAGAUGAGUCUCCACCAUUGCCUCAAAGCUACGAGCACAUUUUCUGUCGAACGAGUCAUAUGUCACCGGAUCAACACAAGAACAAAAUCGAUACGUGAUUGACAAAACUUUCAUUGGCAUCGUUCCGAAGAUUUUACGCCUAAUUCUUUUACGAAGUUCUGUCAAAUCUAUGUUCUGGUUAAAUGACAGUCACACCGUAUUCUCCGACUAAAGAACAACACCAUUCUCGGUGUGGCAAACCUCACCAUCGUAGUAAAUAACAGCACUAAUACAUUCACUCAUUUUGAAACUCUAACUUUCUUAGCCUCUCUAAAUUGUUUCUGCUAUGACUUAUGCAUUCUAAGAACAUUUUCUGCCUAAUUUAUAGCCUCAGCUCAAACUUGCUACUGCAGCAAAAUCGCGUCCACGAGGGCGUGAUUUCACAAUUUCUUCUCAAAUAGCAUCCUGGUACAAGCGAUUUUAUACUAUUUGCUCAGAAACGUCAAAAAAAAUUAUUUCUUACAUGACCUACUGUAGCAAAAUCGCGUCCACGAGGGCGCGAUUUCACAAUUUCUUCUCAAAUAGCAUCAUGGUACUAGCGAUUUUAUACUAUUUGCUCAGAAACGUAAAAAAAAUUAUUUCUUACAUGACCUACUGUAGCAAAAUCGCGUCCACGAGGGCGCGAUUUCACAAUUUCUUCUCAAAUAGCAUCCUGGUAGAAGCGAUUUUAUACUAUUUGACCAGAAACGUCAACUUAAAAUAAUUUAUUCCGGGACCUAAAAAUCCUAAAAAGCCUGAACCCUAAACCCUAAAAGCCAAAAAAACCAAACGUGAAAAAAAAGUCAAAAUCACGUCCCCCGGAAUGUGCUACGUGGCAGGACAUCGCGUCCACUUCAGCGCGACCUACUGACGUGGAAGGAAAUCACUCCCUCAAGGACGCGAUUUCCUUCCAUGUCAGCAGGUCACGCUGACGUGGACGCGAUGUCCUGACACGUACCCUGACAUCGCUCUGACGUGGACGCGAUUUCCCGAAAAAUGGACCAUUCCGGUAAAUAAUAAAAAAAUCGGUCUAUUUCGGUAAAUUUUGAAAAAAAAACGGCUUUUUUUGGUAAAUUACCCAAAAAUAUAAGCAAUUUUACAAUAUUCGUGGUGGGAACAUAUCCCAUCACCAACUUUUCAUAACUUCUUUUUCCCAUUUUAUAAAAUGUCUAUAGAUUAAGUACUGGCUCUUCAAUUUUCUAAGUAUUCAUUGUCUUACCCCUUUCUUGGGUUUGGUUUGGGAAGGUUGCUUGACUUCGUUGUGCAAUUUAAAGUCUUUCCAAUUUGUCGUUUUAGAAGUGAUCGGAAAAUUUGCACUUCUUCAUGUACUAGAAGAAAAGUGAUUGGGUUCAAAGAAUAAAAACAGGGAUAGAUUAUUUACAUAGUUUAGUUUUUCUAUUCCUACAGAGCCUACGUUAUGAGGAAUAGUUUAGUUUAUGUUGUAGUUUCUUCCUGCAAGAUUACAAAUUUUUUUAAUGUGAUUUACGUAGAAACUACGAAAUUUAUUAUAGGAUGUGAUAAUAUAAUUCUAUAAUUAUUGCUUAAAUUUUUUCUUUCUAAAUUUCAUAUUUCUUAAGAAAUUACAGUAAUAAAUUUUACAUAGAAAUAAUAUGUAGUAUUGAAAUUAAAUUGCAGUUGUACAAAGGUUACAACUUUUUUAUUAAAUUAUUAAAAUUAUUAGAGAACAUGAUAAAAUUAAAUGAGAACCUUUUUAUCAAAGUGACAAGUGAGCAGUCGCUUUGAAGAAUAUAAAUAACCCUUCCGCUUGCUUAAUUUGUGUUUCUAUUGACUAAAAAAAUUUUGAACAAAAAGGAUAUUGACUAAAAAUUAAAAUAACCAUGAAAUCUUUUACAACAUUCAACGAGGUUGAAAGAUUUUAUUUUUAAUUUUUUUUAAAUAAUAACUUAUUUGGCUUCUAAUUUUAUAAAAAAAUUAUUUUUUAUUCCUUAAAACUUAUAUUAUUUAUCAACAUUGGCUUACUCCUUCGUUGGGUUUGGUUUGGGACGGCUGCUUGACUUCGUUGUGCAAUCUAAAGUCUUUCCACUUUGUCGUUUUAAAAGUCUGCAUAUCGGAGAAUAUCACAAUUGAGAAAGAAUUAUAUAUUGCUGUGAAACUGAACGUAGUUGCUAAUAUAUACGUUAAGUGAUUAAAAACUUGGCACCUCUUCAAGUGCGGGAAGAAGUGAUUGCGAAGUUGACACUUUUUCUAAGUUAUUAAAAAAAAUAAAUAGGAGACACAUAUUGUUUACUUAGUUUGGUUUCUUACGUUUGCGGAUCUUAGUUUAGUGAAAAAUAUCUACUAUCUCCAACAUUUAUAAUGAGUGAUCUUAAAUCUAUCACAACUCACUACAAUUUCCUCACUUUUGUACUUUUGAAAAUCGGUACUUUCAUCACUAAAUUCACUCCUGUGAACUUAAUUUAUAAAAUCACAACACACAAGUUUUACAAUCAAAUGCACUCUUACAAACAAUAUUCUUCGCUUAAACAGACCAAGUUCUCUCAAUUCUCUAUACAAUCACCUAUACAAGUCUCUCAAUUAUAAAUAGAUUUCGAGAUUUACUAACAUAAUGAAAAUCUAUAUCAAUCUCUAUUAAACAACAACUAAACUAGUUGAAUAAAUUAUAAUAAUAAAUAAGGUAAACAAGGAUUGUUGGCAGCUAAGUCUUCUACGUUCCAAUUCGAUUCAACUUUCUCGAUCCAAGCGAUUAGAUAUACAUGGUCCGAUCCAAUCCGAUCCCUUAAACAUGUUUCCUGAAGUGAUAUGAUCUGUAACACCCCAAACCCAGCCUAACGUUAUAUAUGGUCUAACAUAUAAUAAAAUUUAUUAUUUAUAAAAUAAACUAAAAAUAAAAAGAGAGAAAAGUUUGAAUAUGGUUUAAAUAUUGUUUGUGAGGUUUUUUUAAAAAAUAUUUUAUUUAUAAAAAUAUUAUUUUAAGAAAUAAAUGUUAUGUUAGAAAGAAGAGAAAAUGGGUAUUCAUGUGUAUUUAUAAUUGUGUUAUGUAUUGUUAUAAAAAUUUAUGUGUUUUUAUAAAAAAAAAACUUUUACAUAUUUUGAAUUUUUAAGAAGUAAAACUACAUUGACAAAAUGUAUAAAAUUGAGAGCUAAAUUUGUUGAUUUUUUAGAGUUAAAGCUAAAUUGAUAGAAUCUGUCAACAUUAGAGGGUUAAAUUUGUUAUUAUAUUAAUAAAAAAUGCCACCGUUAAUGAUUUAACAGAGGAACAACAAAAAUAUUAAAAUUUGAUAAUAUUAAUGAAUGAAAUAAAAAUUUUUAAACUUAAAUGACCAAAAUAGAAACACACUAAUAAUUAGAUAAACUAUUUUUUUUACUUUUCCCUAGAUUUAAUAAUGUUACCCGAUUUUCCAUGAUUCCUCCAUUUUCUUACCCCUUUCUUGGGGUUGGGACCCGGCUUCACUUUAUUUGUGCAAUCUAAAGGCCUUUCAACUAUGUCAACAAUUGCUUAUGAACUUAUAAUGCGAAACCUUAAGCAAUUGGACAACGAAGCUAUCACUUUUCUUCUUCAAGGAUAAUUAAGAUGGGUCCGGCAUGGUCACUAAAUUUCCAUCACUUUUUGGCCAUUUUCUUUUCUAUGUUUUGCACAUUUUUAAAUCUCUAUACAUUCAAUAAUGCUCCCCAAUUGAAGGUUCUUCUUUUUCAAACCUCGUCUUUUACUCGACUUUGUUGUGCAAUUUAAAGUCUUUCAGCUUUGUUGUUUGGGUAACUUAUAAAAAUAGUCACUUAAUUUUAGUUAAAUUUAUUUUCUCACUGAAUUAUAAAAAAAUUACAUUUUAGUCACUAACAGUAUCGAGUUAUAACGUUUUGGUCACUCAUCCAUUAACCGCCAUUUUAUCCUUAAGGAAAAGUGCCGUUAACUCAAGGGUUAAUAUUUAAUUUGACCUUUGAACUAUAGUUAAAACAUUCAACUUGGUCAUAAUUUAUUAAAAAAUAUUAAAAAUAAAAAAUUUAAAAAUUUAUUUAUUGUUUGAUACUAUAAAAAAUAUAUAUUUUGAAAUUGUAAUUAUGUAAUGUUUUAAAAAACCAUAGAAUCCUUUAAAUUUAAAUUAUAUUAGAAAUCCUAUCACAGUUGUGCACAUGUGGCAAUCAUGAAUUUAGAACAUAGAUUUGUGUUUAAAAAUGAAAUCCAAUAAAUAAUGAAAUCGUAUAGUUUGAAACUAAUUAAUCAUAAUAACACAUGAAAUAUGUAUGAUAUUAAAGUUAAAAAAUUAGAUUAAAUUGUGAGUAAAACUAAACUUAAACAUAUAAAUACAUUAAAUUAACAAUACUAAACCAACUCAACUAAUAACAUUAUUAAUAUAUACAAUGGAUGAAGUGUGCAUAAUAAAAUUAAAUUGUAUAUGAAAAAAUCAAAAUAAAACUUUGGUUGAGUGGUUAAUUUAGGGUUUUGCUAAUGUGAUUGACGUAGAUAUUAUAAUAUGUAUAUUUUUUAUUUUUUUAAGAAAGUAAAAGAUUAAAGUACCCCCGAAUAAUAUAAUUUAUUUAAUUACAAAAGAACAUUUCCAUAAUUUCUCUAACCGAGUUGAUGCUCGUCUAACUCGUAAUAUCAACUCAAUCAAAGACUUAAAAUAAUGGUAUAGAUAAAAAUGUAGAUUGAGUCAUGGUUAUCUGAACCUAUUGAACUGGCAAUGAUACCAGUCUGGAGAGAGGCAUUAGAUCAGUUCACUCGCAAACCAGUACAGACCAAUAUUAGAACUAGACUAAAAAACUGAUUGAAUCGUUUUUUUAAUAUUUUAAUAAUUUGUAAUCCAACUAUACAAACCAAUAUUUCAACCACCAUUUUAGUUCUAAAAACUUUGCUUAAAGUAUAUUUAAUUUUUAAUUAUUUACUUUAUAAUUCUACACAAAUACAUAAUUACCGCAGCUUCAGAACAGACGAGGACUAAGAAAAAGAAUCAGCUAAUUUUACUGAUUGCAAUUCUAUGAGUAACGCAGCAAACUUAGCUUUCUUUAAUUUCGUCUCACACUAAUAAUUUGUAUCUAUGAUUUAACUUGGACAAGAUCUUUAUCAAGUUGUUUUUUAUGCAAUUGACUAAUAAAAUUCCAUAUUGAGCCAUCGAAUUUACGAGAAAUGGAUACAACAAUGACUUCAAAAUAAAUUGGACUUUUUAUUUUGCAAUUCACUUUUAUAGUUUCAAUAAUGGCCAACCAAUUUUCCAUGACUUUUAUAGCUUGACUUAAGUUGUGCAAUCUAAAGUCUUUUUCUAAACCGUGAGAACAGAAGAAAACAUAUGAGCAGCCAUUGUUGAAGUCCCAUGUUCGGCCAAGCUUCUCAUUUUACACGGUGAGUAAUUUUAAUCUCGUUUUUCAUGAAUUUUAUAUUUUUGAGAUUAUUGUAAUUUUAAUCUAGUUUAGCUAACUCAAGUGUUAAUUUUUGAAACUGUUAAAAUUUCUAAAUGUUACUAUUGAUGAAUGAUUGAUGAAAUUAGUAUUAAUUGAUUAGAUUUUUCUGCUUAGAUAUGAAAAAGGCUUAAUUAUCAAUUAUCAAUUCCAAAUAAAAAAUAUUAUUGAUAUUUUCUAUUAUGAAAACCCAUUCUCAAUGUGUUGAAUCGUUGAACAAGUAAUUUUUACUUCUAUUGUGGCAAAUUCAAUGGAGGGAGUUAUCUUCUUAUUUCUACCAUAAAAAGUUUCUCAAUAAAUUUCAUUGGGUGAAAAUUUUGAGUUAGAUUAGAGUGCUUCAAAAUCUCAUGGCAAUUAACAAAUUACGUGAAUGUGUGUGAAAAUAGGAAGGAUAUUAGUAGUUCACCUCUAAUUGCUUAGGCAUGAUACUCGUUGUGAAAAUAGGAAGUUUCUCAACAAUUCCCAUGAUACUUGUUGGAUAACUCGAUCAUCUUUUUUACAGGAUGUAAACUUUUCUAAAUGAUAAGGAAAGGAAAAGAAAACUUAGGCAAUUCAAUUUAAGUAGUUCACAUUUAAUUGCCUACCUCCACUUAGUAUCCUUUAAUCAAAUAAUUUCUCAAAUUACUAUAAGAAUUUGUACCUUUCGAGGAGAAGGUAUAACAUUUACAGCACUAUCUUUUUCUUAAGGCUUAGAUAUAACCUUUCCCUCUAGCUUUUAUAGUUGUUGUAUAGUCGUCGUUGGCAAGUCAUGUCUCGAGACAAUUUAUCAAUUGUCUUUAGACACACUGCACUAUAUCUCAAGACAAGUAGCUCCUAUCAAUUGGUACAAGCCAGUAUGAACUAGUAUAAGUUAGUAUUGACUGAAACGAGCUUAAACAUACUGGAAUUGUCAAAACACAUCAAAAUCUUAACCAUAAUGAAGCCUAUACUAUUUAGUAUUGGUUGAAGACCAGAAAGAUACGCAUCGAGUGUGUUAAAUGUUGAUGUCCUUUUUAUGUACUGUUUAUAUUUUUGUUCUUUUAAUAAUAUUUGUUUGGCUUAUAAAAAUUAUUUUUAUUAAAAUAAAAUAAAUGAAAAGCUUAUGCAAAGACUAAAAAAAGAUAUCAAAAUUUGCUAUGUUUUGAUAUUGGGCAUUUAAUAAUUUGUACCUAUAUUUAAAAAAAAAUUGUACCAAUACAAUUUCAUAAAAUUAGUACAAAUGGUCAUCAAAAUUCAGCGUAACUUCCUAAAUAUAUUGCUAAUUGAUAUAAUUGAGAACGGUUAUGCGGUUGAUAAUAAUCUUUUUGAACUUCGUUUAGUACAUGAUUUAUGCAAGUAAUAUUGGCAACUUAAGUUUCGGCAUGUCCUGCGAGAACAUAAGAGACUGACAGAUUGCAUGACCAAAGUUGUUCUUAGUAAUCUUAAUAGGUUAACAACUUUUGAAGACCCAGCUAAUCAUGCUCGAUCUUUGUUAGAAGAAGAUGCUCAUCGAGCAAUGAUUAAUAUAGACUCUCAUCAACCUAAUUGUAGCUAAUUCCUUGAACUUGUUUCUUUUUUAAAAAAAUUCACAAAAUGCAGAAAUAACUAUUAAUAAACUUUUUAGGAAAACAGAGCAUCUGUAUAAAUAUUUAUCAAAGACAUUGCUAGAAAGCAAAGCUUAUGUUUAUUUUAGUCAAUUUAACAAUGGCCACUUCAUCGAACGCGUUGCAUAUCCCUUGAUAACUUUACUUUGAUCUUCUUUAACUUUGUAACAACCUCUUUCAUAUGAAGCCUCUCAUUUGGUAACUCUGCAGAACAUUCUAAGCCAACUUGCAAAAUGGAUAAGGCACAAUUCUUGACUUUUAAAUGUUCCCUUCCAAUGGUGCUCAACAACUUGGGAUCUACAACUUGAUUUCGCGAAGAUGAUAUCGACUCUAUCACCCAACUCUUCAAGCUUCUUUCUCCUUCAAACAUUUCAUCUGUGGGCUUUUUUCUUGUGAUGAUUUCCAUCAAAAGAAUACCAAAGCUAUACACAUCACCUUUUGUCGAAACAAUUCCUUCGAUUCCAUAUUCUGUGUAUGAAUAUAAAAACAACAUUAUGAAUAUUCAAAGAUAUCUUGAUAAUGAAAAAUCCGUAUAAAAUGUACGAAACAUUAUAUGCUUGCAUGUUAUAAUUGAACUGGGAUUUAAUCUAGUUGCUUCCUUAAAAAGUCACAUUUAAUAUGUUUGAAACUCAAAUCUUAACAUAUAUGAUCCCUUUUGUUAUGCACAUGCUACGCUUACAUUGAAAAUGGAAAAAUAAACAUGGAGUUUGAUUAGAAGUAUCACCUGGUGCCAUAUAUCCAAAUGUUGCCAUUGUCAUGGUUUGUAUCAUUGAAACCUCUUCACGUAAGAGUUUCGCGAUGCCAAAAUCACUCAAAUGAGCAACCAUAUCUUCAUCUAAUAGAACAUUGUUGGGUUUUAAAUCACAGUGAACCACGGGUGUUGCAUUUUCAUGGUGGAGAUAUUCCAAUGCAGAUGCAACAUCUAUCAUUAUGUUCAACCUUUGUAAGAUAUCCAAAUAUUGGUUGUUGGAAUACAACCAUUUAUCAAGACUCCUAUUAGGCAUGAACUCAAGCACCAACGCUUUGAAAUUAAGAUCAUUAGAGCAACUGCUUAUUACUUUGACUAAAUUUCUGUGACGAGUGUUGCAGAGAACAUCACAUUCAACAUCAAAGCUCUUAAAAGCUCCUUCUAACUCUAACUUGAAGACCUUUACCGCAAUUACCGUCCCAUCCUGGAGAGUCCUUUGGAAUAGUGAACCAUAACUUCCAUUACCAAGCAACCUACUAUCAUUGAAUCCAUCAGUAGCUUGACGAAGCUCGUGGUAUGAAAACCGUCUCCACGUUCCUAAAGGUAUCAUGUCUUCUUGAGUUGGCAAUUUGUCUUUCCUCCUAUUUUACAAGAUAAUGAUUAUCAGAGCCACAACCAAAAUUGUGGAGGCAAUUGGCAGAGCUACAUAUAUUAUGAGCUUCAGCUUAGUUUUUGCCUUGGAAUUUCUAAGAGGUCUUGUUUUGCAGUUUGGAACAUGAAGUCGAGUUGCACCACACAAGGCUUCAUUACCCUUAAAUGAUUCGAUUGUGUAGUUUCCAAAUGAUCCUCCUUCAGGAAUUUUUCCUUCAAGUCUAUUAAAAGAGACAUUGAAAUAUUUGAGAUAACGGAGUUUCUUUAAGGAUUUGGGAAUCUCUCCAGAUAGAUUAUUUCUUGACAAGUCCAAGAAUUCCAAACUCAACAAUUCAUCAAAAGACUCAGGAAUAGAACCCAUGAUUCUAUUAUUGGAAAAGGAAAAAUGAGUGAGGUCCUUGAGAUCUGCAACUCCAGUUGGGAUAUCACCUGAGAACUGAUUGUUCGACAAAUCCAAACUAGUCAAAACUUUCCAUUUUCCAAUGUCAGUUGGCAGUGGACCACUUAGAGAAUUUGAAGACAAGUAUAGGAUGAGGAGAUAGUUAAGCCUUGUCAACGUGGAAGGUAUUGAGGAGGAAAACUUAUUGGAGUCUAGAAAUAGUUGCCUUAAUGAAGUGAGAUCACCUAAGCAAGCAGGUAUUGGUCCAGACAAUUUGUUAUUGGUCAAGAACAAGAAAGCCAAUUUGUUGAGAAGACAUAACUGAGAUGGGAUGGAUCCUUCUAACUUAUUGUCUUUAAGAGAAAGACUUUGCAACUCUUCCAAUCCACCAAUUGUAGUAGGAAUCUGUCCUAUCAAUUUAUUGCCUCCGAGAUCAAUGCUUAUCAAGUGACUUAAGUUUCCAAUUUCAUUGGGGAUGCUACCCCUGAUGUUGCAUGAAUAUGCAGAGAACUCUUCAAGAGAACUUGAGACAUUUCCUACCACUCUUGGAAGUUCACCACUAAUAAAUGGGUUGCUAUCGAAAGGAAAGUUCUCCAAGCCUCUACAGUUUGUCAAAGAAAAGAGAAAGCUCAUUCCUGAGGAAGUUAAAUUAUUACUCGCCAGGUUGACAAACUUUAAAUUUCUUAGAUUGCCUAGAUUAUCAGGAAUGGACCCUGAAAAGUAAUUAUUAGACAUGUCAAGAACAGUAAGCUGAGAGGCAUUGGAAAUAUACAUUGGGAUCGAGCCGACAAGGUGAUUGCUAGCAAGAUAUAAUUGCUCCAUGUUUGGAAGGAAAAGGCCCAUGUUUGAUGGAAGAUGGCCAGAGAGCUGAUUUAUAUCCAAAGCAAUCAUCCUUAAAGUUGAAAUAUUAAAUACAUGUGGAGGGAUAGAACCAGCAAGAUUGUUAAAGUCUAAAUCCAACCAAUUUAGAUUCUUUAGGUUGCCAAUCUCACGUGGUAUUAUACCUGCCACAAAUUUUAUCAAACAAAAAUAUUAGACAAAUAUGAGGAAGAAAAUAGUUUAUGUAUAUGAAACGUUUGCUUAUAUUUUUUAUAAUGUGUACAACUAUAGACAAUUAGUGUAUCAAAUAUGAAUCAACAAUAUUUACAAAAAAAAUUAAUUCACAAUAAAAUUGUUUUUAUAGAGCUCUUGCAAAUAUUAAAGUACUUCAAGUAAUUUUAAAUUGAAUUUUUAGGUUUAAAGUUGGAAUAAGUUCAAAAUGAGAAGGGAUUGUAUGAAAUUACAAUUCUAUGUCAUCUUUAUCCCUUAUAGGAGAAUAACAAAUCAGAUUUUUCCUCCUAAUUUUUAGCUUUUUCUUCUUGAAAAAAUUAAAAUCCAACUAAAAAAGUUAAAAAUUAGGAGGAAAAAUCUGAUUUAUCAUUCUCUUAUUGGAAAGGGAUAGAGAUUACGUAGAAUCACAGUUUCAUACAAUCACUUCUCAUUCAAGUUAUAGAAAAUAAUGAUGAAAUAAAUGAUAAAGAACAAACAUUUAUAAGUCAAAUAAAAUAAUUAAGAACAUAAUGGUGAAUUAAAUUUGUUUUCCUUUUAUCUGAUUUGAUAAAUUUAAAAUUUUUAAGAACAUAAAAAUAAAUCAAAUAUGAUUUUUGGUCCCUUGGAGUUUUGUUUGGCCUCAACAGGGGUAAAUGUAAAUAAUGGACUUAAAAAGAAAAAAAGAAAUAUACUAAUUGCAAUGACUAUGAAAAAUUUUAUAAUUAUUGUAGAAUAAUCAAAACACAGAAAGCGGUUGAGGAAAAUAAAGUUCAAAUUAAUAAAAACUAUCAGUAAAAGUUGCAAAUUAAUAAAAAUAAUUUGGAAAUAAUUUAACUCUUUCUUAUACAUUCACCUGUAAAAUUGUUAUUGGAACAAUCAAACGACAUAAGAAGAGUUAAAUUCACAAUUUGUUUAGGAAUUUCACCUGCAAUUAUAAAAUUCACAUAUCAAAUUAAAAAUUCAUCUCCUAGCAAGGAUUAUAAUAAUAAAAUUAAGGUAUAAUGGCUUAUUUAGCUCUUCAAUUUUAUUAAAAAGAAUCAUUUUAGUCUUUCAUUUAAUUUUUCAUCUCUUUUAGCCCUUAAACUUGCAAUGUUUGUCAAAUCAUCCCAAAAUAAAUUGAAAAUUCCAUGUGUAUGCCACAUCAACAAUUAAUUUUUAAAAUUUUAAAAAAAAUUCUAUUUUAUUACUAACGUGUUAGCAAAGUAAACAAACAUUAACUUUUCCAUACAUUUUUUGGGCUGAUAUAACAAACAAUACAAGUUCAAGAGCUAAAAGAAACGGAAAAUUAAAUAAAAAAUUAAAAUGAUUUUUUUUAUAAAGUUGAAGGGCUAAAUAAAUAAUUAUUUCUAAAGUAAACAAAGCACGUUAGCAAGGUAUUUCACAUCAUAUUAGGUGUCAUACACACUUCCAAGUCAAGUUGGAACUAAAAAAAUAUUUCUCUCAUCAUUUUGUCGUAGUUUAUUCUUCAAUCUUCUUUUGAAAAAUUUCAACUAUGUAUUCGUUUAAUAAAUAAAUUUAUAUUUUCAAUCUCAAUAUCUAAAUUAUUAUAUUCAUUACCUUAAUUUCUUUUCAAAAAAACAAAAAAAAAAAUCGUUCCUUGCAUCUCAAUGUACUUAAAAAAAAAGUAAACACUUCAAAAGGUUUUAAAAAUGGUUAGCAUAUAUUACCUUCAAAGUGGUUCCGACCAAUAGCGAUGUCUUGAAGCAGGCUCAAAUUCCCAAUUUCUAUUGGUAGGCUCCCCUCCAUUUGGUUAUACGAUAAAGCUAACACUUGUAACUCUUUGCACUUGAAUAGACUGGCAGGAAUUCUACCAGAAAGCAGGUUAAGACUCCAGUACAAUCCUUUCAAAUUUGGAAGAUGAUCAAACAUAUCUUUUGGGAUAUGACCAGUGAGAUUAUUGGAGGUGAAAUGGAUGACUUCUAGCAAAAGCAAAUCACGUGGAACAGAGGGUAUAGAACCAGAGAGUAUAUU
rnacentral:lncRNA from 1 species